GGCGGCACCGAGCGCCUAGGGUCUGAGCGGAUCAGGGGCUAGCGCUGGAACUUCUAGGCGAAGACUGUAGUGAGCCGGAGCUGCAGUGCUUUCCUCAGGCAGAUGAGAACUUCUGACGUAACAGCAAACGCGCAAGAAAGUGCAGACAAGCCGUGCGGCAAGAAUGAAGUGAGAGCCGCCCAGUCGUAUCCAUGGGAGUCUCCAGACCGGAACACUAGAAUUUUAUUCAGAGUAAUCUCCUGGCCAAAUGCCUAGAAAUCCUGAACCUGAACUAAUUACAGUUACAAAGGAUGGCUUGCGUAUGAAAUAUCUGAAGGUGAGGAACAGUGAAAUCCCUAUCACAAAGGCAAUAAAGAUUUUCAAAGAGUACAUGAAGUCCUUUCACAUUUUUUGUGAUGCUAGGUUAAAAUGCAAGCAAUGGUUAAAAGUUAUAGGAAUUGGGGAAUAUUUAGCAAAUGCAUUUUUAAAACAAAAUUGGUAGCUGCAAAGGAGGCAGUGAGCUAUUAAAUUAUCAUUUGGCACUCCAAAUUUCAACAGUGUUUAAAGCAAAAUUAAAGGCUGCUGUGAUUUGUAAUUACCAUGUUUAGUUGAUAAUGUAAACACUCAAGUUGUCUAAAGUUCAGCAAUGAUUUUGAGAUUUUUUUCCGUUGAUAUUGUUCUGUUCAGAGUCUAUAUGAGGCAGGAGGCAGAAGGGCCCCCCAGGGUAAAGCAAUCAGAGAUUCAUUCUCUACUGACCAAAACUCCAAGACAAGAAUAGCAGGGCAAUCAAAGGGAGGAGAUUGGACCCUGCACAGACCACAUAUUUCUCGUCCCAAAGUCAGGAGACCCUCCCUGGCCGCACAUGCACAGAAAAGGCUCUGUUGCUGUUCUACCCAGAUGCCUUUUUGGUACAAUUCAUCUUGGCUAAGAUGCGUGCACACACGUGGGAAGAUCCUGAGAUAUACUGAAUAUGGACUGUGAACCCAGGCAGAUCAAGAUGAGCGGCCAGAGGAACUCUGGGAGAAAUGCCCCGCAGAAGUGAUGUAAACUGCCACAAGGGCGUGACUCAGGGGCUCUCCCUCCAAGUCUGCCCAUGUGUCUAUCCAUAUGUACUGUACUUGUUCCUCCUAAGAAAUACUUUACUUGCUUCACCA